rnacentral:rRNA from 1 species
UAGGCCUAACACAUGCAAGUCGAACGGCAGCACAGAGGACUUGCUCCUUGGGUGGCGAGUGGGGGACGGGUGAGGAAUACAUCGGAAUCUACUCUGUCGUGGGGGAUAACGUAGGGAAACUUACGCUAAUACCGCCCACCACCUACGGGUGAAAGCUGGGGAUCUUCUGACCUUGCGCGAUUGAAUGAGCCGAUUUCGGAUUAUCUAGUUGGCGGGGUAAAGGCCCACCAAGGCGACGAUCCGUAUCUGGUCUGAGAGGAUGAUCAGCCACACUGGAACUGAGACACGGUCCAUACUCCUACGGGAGGCAGCAGCAAGGAAUAUUGGACAAUGGGCGCAAUCCUGAUCCACCCAUACCGCGUGGGUGAAGAAGGCCUUCGGGUUGUAAAGCCCUUUUGUUGGGAAAGAAAUCCUUCUGGUUAAUACCCGGGUGGGAUGACGGUACCCAAAGAAUAAGCACCGGCUAACUUCGUGCCCGCAGCCGCGGUAAUGCUAAGGGUGCAAGCGUUACUCGGAAUUACUGGGCGUAAAGCGUGCGUAGGUGGUCGUUUAAUUCCGUUGUGAAAACCCUGGGCUCAACCUGGGAACUGCACUGGAUACUGGGCGACUAGAAUGUGGUAGAGGGUAGCGGAAUUCCUGGUGUAACAGUGAAAUGCGUAGAGAUCAGGAGGAACAUCCAUGGCGAAGGCAGCUACCUGGACCAACAUUGACACUGAGGCACGAAGGCGUGAAGAGCAAACAGGAUUAGAUACCCUGGUACUCCACGCCCUAAACAAUGCGAACUGGAUGUUGGGUGCAAUUUGGCACGCAGCUAUCGAAGCUAACGCGUUAAGUUCGCCGCCUGGGGGAGUACGGUCGCAAGACUGAAACUCGAAGGAAUUGACGCGCGGCCCGCACAUGCUGUGGAGUAUGUGGUUUGAAUCGCAUGCAACGCUGACGAACUCUU